rnacentral:rRNA from 1 species
UACGAAGGGGGCUAGCGUUGCUCGGAAUGACUGGGCGUAAAGGGCGCGUAGGCGGCUUGCACCGUCAGAUGUGAAAUUCCUGGGCUUAACCUGGGGGCUGCAUUUGAUACGUGUGGGCUUGAGUGCGGAAGAGGGUCGUGGAAUUCCCAGUGUAGAGGUGAAAUGCGUAGAUAUCGGGAGGAACACCAGUGGCGAAGGCGACUACCUGGCCUGUUCUUGACGCUGAGGCGCGAAAGCUAGGGGAGCAAACGGG